UGCCAGCAGCCGCGGUAAUACGGAGGGUGCAAGCGUUGUUCGGAAUUAUUGGGCGUAAAGCGCGUGUAGGCGGUUCGUUAAGUCUGAUGUGAAAGCCCGGGGCUCAACCCCGGAAGUGCAUUGGAAACUGGCGAACUUGAGUACGGGAGAGGAAAGUGGAAUUCCGAGUGUAGGGGUGAAAUCCGUAGAUAUUCGGAGGAACACCAGUGGCGAAGGCGGCUAACUGGCUCGGUACUGACGCUGAGGCGCGAAAGCUAGGGGAGCGAAUGGGAUUAGAUA
rnacentral:rRNA from 1 species